rnacentral:rRNA from 1 species
UUUAUAUUGAAUAUAUAAAUUGAUAUUUGAUAAUGAUUAUAAUUUAAAAUAAAUCAGUAUUUUGUUGGGGUGACAAAAAAAAUAAAAUAACUUUUUUUAUAAUUAACAUAUAUAUAUGUUUUAUUGAUCCAGAUUUUUCUGAAUAUAAGACUAAGCUACCUUAGGGAUAACAGCGUAAUUACUUUGGAGAGUUCAAAUCGAUAAAGUAGUUUGCGACCUCGAUGUUGGAUUAAAAUAAAUAUUUGAUGUAGCAGUUUGAUUAUUAAGUCUGUUCGACUUUUAAAUUUUU